rnacentral:rRNA from 1 species
ACGCUGGCGGCAGGCUUAACACAUGCAAGUCGAACGGUAACAGGGAUUAGCUUGCUAAUCUGCUGACGAGUGGCGGACGGGUGAGUAAUGCUUGGGAAUCUGGCUUAUGGAGGGGGAUAACUACGGGAAACUGUAGCUAAUACCGCGUAAAAUCUUCGGAUUAAAGGGUGGGACUUUCGAGCCACCUGCCAUAAGAUGAGCCCAAGUGGGAUUAGGUAGUUGGUUAGGUAAAGGCUGACCAAGCCGACGAUCUCUAGCUGGUCUGAGAGGAUGACCAGCCACACUGGAACUGAGACACGGUCCAGACUCCUACGGGAGGCAGCAGUGGGGAAUAUUGCACAAUGGGGGGAACCCUGAUACAGCCAUGCCGCGUGAAUGAAGAAGGCCUUCGGGUUGUAAAGUUCUUUCGGUGACGAGGAAGGUUGAUAGGUUAAUAGCCUAUCAAAUUGACGUUAAUCACAGAAGAAGCACCGGCUAACUCCGUGCCAGCAGCCGCGGUAAUACGGGGGGUGCGAGCGUUAAUCGGAAUAACUGGGCGUAAAGGGCACGCAGGCGGUGACUUAAGUGAGAUGUGAAAGCCCCGAGCUUAACUUGGGAAUUGCAUUUCAUACUGGGUCGCUAGAGUACUUUAGGGAGGGGUAGAAUUCCACGUGUAGCGGUGAAAUGCGUAGAGAUGUGGAGGAAUACCGAAGGCGAAGGCAGCCCCUUGGGAAUGUACUGACGCUCAUGUGCGAAAGCGUGGGGAGCAAACAGGAUUAGAUACCCUGGUAGUCCACGCUGUAAACGAUGUCGAUUUGGGGAUUGGGCUUUGAGCUUGGUGCCCGUAGCUAACGUGAUAAAUCGACCGCCUGGGGAGUACGGCCGCAAGGUUAAAACUCAAAUGAAUUGACGGGGGCCCGCACAAGCGG